GGGUUGUGAGGUUAAGCGACUAAGCGUACACGGUGGAUGCCCUGGCAGUCAGAGGCGAUGAAGGGCGUACUAAUCUGCGAUAAGCGCCGGUAAGGUGAUAUGAACCGUUAUAACCGGCGAUACCCGAAUGGGGAAACCCAGUGUGAUUCGUCACACUAUCAUUAACUGAAUCCAUAGGUUAAUGAGGCGAACCGGGGGAACUGAAACAUCUAAGUACCCCGAGGAAAAGAAAUCAACCGAGAUUCCCCCAGUAGCGGCGAGCGAACGGGGAGGAGCCCAGAGCCUGAAUCAGCAUGUGUGUUAGUGGAAGCGUCUGGAAAGGCGCGCGAUACAGGGUGACAGCCCCGUACACAAAAGCGCAUGUGCUGUGAGCUCGAUGAGUAGGGCGGGACACGUGGUAUCCUGUCUGAAUAUGGGGGGACCAUCCUCCAAGGCUAAAUACUCCUGACUGACCGAUAGUGAACCAGUACCGUGAGGGAAAGGCGAAAAGAACCCCGGCGAGGGGAGUGAAAAAGAACCUGAAACCGUGUACGUACAAGCAGUGGGAGCCCCA
rnacentral:rRNA from 1 species